CAACCCUCAAGCUCUGCUUGGUAAUGGGCGCCACCGCUCUGGUGCGCCUCAAAAUCAGUGGCGGCGCCAUCCGGCUUCAAGCGUAGUAAUAUCUCAUCGCUUUGGAGGACCGGUUGGACGCUUGCCAGCAACCCCCAAUAUUUCUAU
rnacentral:misc_RNA from 1 species